rnacentral:rRNA from 1 species
GACGAACGCUGGCGGCGUGCUUAACACAUGCAAGUCGAACGGAAAGGCCCUGCUUUUGUGGGGGGCUAGAGUGGCGAACGGGUGAGUAACACGUGAGUAACCUGCCCUGGGCUUUGGGAUAACUUCAGGAAACUGGGGCUAAUACCGGAUAGGUGAUCCUGCAGCAAGGUGGGGGUUGGAAAGUUUCGGCGGUUGGGGAUGGAGUGGGGGCUUAUCAGCUUGUGGGGGGGGUAGUGGCUUACCAAGGCUUUGACGGGUAGCCGGCCUGAGAGGGUGGCCGGCCACGUUACAUCUGAGAUGCGGCACAGACUACUACGUGAGGCAACGGUGGGGAGGGGUACACAGCGGACGGGGGCCUGAUACGAUGAAGCGGCGAUGGGUAAGACAGGCAUGUAGUUGUAAAGCGCAGUCGCGUGUUACGAGACGUGAAUGACGGUAGUAGGUAAAAAAGCACCGGCUAACUACGUG